rnacentral:lncRNA from 1 species
CGGAUCCAGAUCGGGAAGUGUUGUUUUGGGGGAUGCCAGCAAGGGCUAGUUGUCCAUCUUGCUUGUUAAGAUGUAAGACCUAAGGUCUGUGUCGGGAUCCAGGUCCAGUUGAUGCCCCCAUCGAGGCAUGCACCAACCAUCUUGAUUCCUUCGGUUAGGGUUCUGGUUACAAUUCCUAUGGUUUCUAGGGGCUCCCUAUUUGUAUGACAUUUCGUUUUCCCCUAACUGGCGAUCCAUGGGCAUCUCCGUACACUUUUGAAGGUACUGUGGAGGAGAUCUUAUUCUCAUUUCUUUCUAUAGGACUAUACACCCACCCACCGUGUAAGGAUCCUAGGUAAACCUUCCUACCAGUUGUAAGGUAUAUUUCUUCUCUUCUGCUACUUUGCCUUUAGACUGGGAUUACCUUGUCAGUUAGUUCUAGGAUAUCCUAUGCGUAGAUUCCAGGGGGUUAGAGAUCGGCUCCGUUUUACAAUAGGAAAUUGACCCCGUACAACUAGGCAUUCUCAAAUAGACAGCCAGUACAUGAAAGUCAGACAGAUAGGAAAGGGUAUACCUAACCCCUGAUAACUUCUAUGUGGUUCUACAGUUGCUCAUACUCUCUGACAAAACUUGAUGAGCCGUAGCGGUUUCACUCUAAGACUAACCCUACCAACGAGGUAUCUUUAUACCCUUUAGACUACUUAAUAGUCAGGUGCGCCCCAUUGAAAGGUUUCGAAUUUCUAUCCAUUUAUAUCAUGAGUUUUCAAGGAUUGGUCUCUUGUGGUUGGGGAUGUCAAAUAAUUCCUACCUUCCUGUGAUGCAUGUCAACGAACUGGCAAAGAAAGAAAGAAAGGAUAUCGAAGGCUGAAAGGAGUGGCGCUGGGAAAUGAACUAUCACUUAUGCCCUAGAAGCCAUCUGCAAUGUUAACGGAAUAUGGUAUAGGUCAAUUGGGUCUAAAAGGAAUAAUCCUAAAGGUCCGCUACGCUUCUUUUUGGAAGUAAACUCUCCCAUCUUUAGUGCGCUCUUAGGUUCUGUUCUCUCUUGAAGUGUGUUUUGCUUUCGCUAAUGAGAGUUGGUAGUUGGCUUACUUUCUUGUUAGAGGACAGGUAGUUGACUACUUGCUGUUGUUAGGCGGUGAACCAACCGGGUGAUUGUUGGGGAGAGAAUGAGCCCCAACACCAACCACCCACGGGGGAGGAACUUCAGAAGCAGAUGUUAGACUUCGCCGCCUACUUCCGCUCAAACAGAACCAAGCCCCCGCGACACAUGGUAGAGAGCCUUAUCGAGGAGCUUCAAGUAGAUUCAGCUUCGGACGAAACCAAAGGAACGAGAUUUCCCUACUUAUCUCGGGUAUCUUGAACGAUCCGCACGCAGUGACAGAUGGUCAACGGGCGAAUGGCAUUUCUAUAGUAAACAGACUCAGUGUUCAAGGGCUCCGUAGGGAAUCUUAGUCGGUUUGUGAGCGCCUUCCGGUAUAGCUAGUCUUCUGUCCGUCCCGAUUGCCGCUAGUCAGUAGCUCGCUUCCGGAUAAACUACUAAAAACAGUGCGCAAGCAAACACAUAAUCGAAAAUAGAAGGAUCAGUGCCCGUAGCUGAGUUAGGUUUAGAUGGUCGUGAUAAGCUCUACUAUAAAGAAAGCCAAUGAGUUUUAUGAAUAGAGGGAGUGCUGCUCUCUAAGGGGCUUUUCCGGCCAGCCGUUGAAUUCCAUUCCUCGAUGCAAUCCUUAAUUAUCUCUUCUCUGGGGCGAGAGACAUGAACAAAGCUUGGCGCGGAAUAAAUACAGGUAUAGAAAGGAUCGAACAUAAAUAAAGAUAAGAAAGGAUCUUUCAUAAGAGAUGAAAGGAUCGAACAUAAAUAAAGAUAAGAAAGGAUCGAACAUAAAUAAAGAUAAGAAAGGAUCGAACAUAAGAGAUGAAAGGUGCUAAGAGCCUACUAGAAUGGAAAAAGAAAAGUAGACCAUAGGAGUCAAAGAGAAGAAAUAGCUGCUGCACGUUCGUUCAUACUCAUGCUCGGCAAGAACGACCCUCAUCAAAAAGCGGUAUAUGUCCUAUGCAGCAGAUUAUAUCUUAUACUAUAGCUAGAACUCUUUGUAAUUACACUCAUCCAGCUUUUCCAUAAGAGAUGAAGCUUUGUUCUGCCGACUCCUUUCCAACUCAAUGAUCUGUUCCUGGAAAGAUUAGUGGGCGGUCUUCAGAUCCUUGCGUACAGCGUGGCAUGCAUCAAGGAAGUGCAUCUUUUCCUUAAGGGCUUAUAAAGUUAUUUCGCUUUAGCUACUACCUCAGCCACGAUUACGUUCUUCUUCUCCAAGAUCAUAUAGGGAUAGAACUUAUUCCGCUUUCCCCAAAACUAAAGACUUCCAAUGCAAUGAAAAAAGCACGACUCCGCUUAGAGAAUGGCGACAAAGCCCUGUGACUCAAAAAAGCCCUCUAUCGGCAACUGUAGACAUAUCCGAAAGUUCUACUAGAGCACACUCUCGGAGGCGGCGAAUCAAAGAAUGACCCAUCUAAUUCGAAAAUAUAGAAAGACUGGAAACAAGCAUAUAACCCAGCACUCACGAUUUGCUAGCCACGGCAUCACCAGUAAAAGAACCCUGAUUGCCUUAUUCCAGUAUUAAGGGAAAAGAAAACCAAACAUAAAGUAUAGAGUAACUACGAAGACCAAAAGCCCGGCAUUUCCGUCUUAGAUGCCCCCCGUCGAAGGCAAGGCAGAUCUUUUGAAUUCAAAGAAGAGCCUUAAGAUCAGACAAGAAAGAAGCCAAAAUAAUUCCUAGUAAGUUGCGGAAAAGAGAGAGCAGAGGAUUUGCGACCUGUUAAUGUACGAGGUAGGCUUGAACAGCGUAGGCUCUUUGCAAGAAGGGUAAGGCAAGCGCAAGGAUUGGCUGACAGAGUUCAGGCGAAUGAAGAAAAGCUAUACUAUAACGGACUUGUAGCUUCUAGUGCUCGAGUGGCUUGCAGCUUCGGGUGCGAAUACGGAUACCGCUUACUUUAGAGCUCGUGCUGUUGCGAGUAAGUAGUCUCUCUGCUCAUAGUCGUCCCGUUCAUAGACGCUAGAGCUACUACGAUAAGGCUAGCUCCUCGUAGAGUGGCAUUAGCUCCUCUUCAACCAGUCGAGUUCGAGUGCGCUGGUAUACGAUGGUAUAGGGUGCUUCUCUGAUCUUCUUCUUCCCACGAUAAACGAAAGAAUUCCUUGUAGGGCAAAUACAGGACUUGUAAUAA